UGGGGCUGGCACAGUGGCGCAGCGGGUAGAGCUGCUGCCUCGCGGCCCCAGCGAUCCGGGUUCAAUCCUGACCUUGGAUGCUGUCCGUGUGGAGUUUUCAAGUUCUCCCUGUUUCCCCCACGUGCUCUGGUUUCCUCACACGUCUCAAAGAUGUGCAGGCUGGUGUUGUAGUUGGCAGCUGUUGAUUACCCUGAGUGUUGGUGGAAGUUGACGGAAAUGUGAGAAAAGGAGGUUAAGGAGGUUUGGCUUGUCACCGACUUGUACGGGAUGUACUGUUGAAAGUAUCCUGACUGCUUGCAUCACGGUCUGGUACGGCAAUUUGAAUGUGCAGGAACGUAAGAAGCUGCAGAGUAGUGGACUCAGCCCAAUACAUCACGGGCACAUCCCUCCCCACCAUCGGUAGUAUCUACAGGAGGCGCUGCCUCAAGACAGCAACAUCUAUCAUCAAAGAUCCCCGCAUUCCAGGUCAUGCCAUCUUCUCGCAGCUACCAUCGGGCAGGAGGAACAGAAGCCUGAAGUCCCACACCACCAGGUUCAAGAACAGCUGCUUCCCUUCAACCAUUCGGUUCGUGAACCAACCGGCACAACCCUAAUCACUACAGUUUAGAAAUACUAUGACCACUUUGCUACCAUCAGGUAGGAGGUACAGAAGCCUGAAGUCCCACACCACCAGGUUCAAGAACAACUAGUUCCCUUCAACCAUUUGGUUCUUGAACCAACCGGCACAACCCUAAUCACUACAGUUUAGUAACACGAUGACCACUUUGAUCACUUUGCACUAAAAUGGACUUUGUUUUAUUUGUUCUAAUUGUGUAUAAUUUAUGUUUAAUUUAUGUUUUUCUUGUGAAUGCUGCUUAUCUGAUGCUAUGCGCCUGU